GACAACAGACCAUGGCAUAUGAUAUGGAAUCUUAAGGUACCCCCUAAAGUGAAGACCGAGGAGUCUGCUAGGCAUUUGUUCAUGGAUUGUGUGCAUGCUGCGACUAUGUGGACAAAGCUAGGUAUUACUACGACGAACUUUGGUCAAGGGCAUGAAUGAACUUUUAAUGAAGUGGAAUGCUCCGUUA